ACGCUUCCACCGCAAUAUCGUAGACUUCACUUCUGGCUAUCAUUCCUUAUUAUUUGGGUACCCUGAAUUUAAUAGAUAUAGCAAAAUGAAUAUCGGUAAAUUCCAUUUUAUUCAUUCACUAUUUUUCUCAUACUUCCAAAUAGUUCUUUAAUGGAUUUGUGGCUAAAGGCACGGAGCUUCGCGGAGGAAGCUGCUAAGCGAUCACAGGAGUUCACCGUAGAAGCUGCUAAGCGUACACAGGAGCUCAGUAUUGGCUCCGCUAAGUUGUCCGACAUCGUUUCAGAGGCUUCCAAGCGUUCAAAGGAGAUUGCCGCCCAAGCUUCUAAGCGUUCUAAGGAGAUCGUUGCCGAAGCUUCUAAACGCGCCGAUCAGAUCAAGUUUCAAAUUCCCGCUGCCGCUGCACUCUCUAGCCUUGUCGAUUCCUCAACUUCUCCUCAAACUGCUUCGGCUAUUACUACGCCGGCUGAUCUUGAAAAGUUUGGAGUCACUGACGACUUGAGAGAGUUCGUUAAGGGCAUCACUAGGGAUACAUUCCAGAAUGUUCAACUUCAAGAUGAGUCAGAGAUGUCUGAUAUUCCUACAGUCGCAAACAUUAGGCAGGAUCUUACAGAGUUUCAGGAAAAACAUGCGAAACUUGUUCUUUCAUCUGUCAAGGAAAUCUCAAAGUUGAGGUAUGAGAUAUGCCCACGCAUAAUGAGAGAGAAAAAGUUUUGGAGAAUCUACUUCAUUCUAGUUAACAGUCAUUUAGCACCGUAUGAAAAGAAAUACAUGGACGAAAAGAAAAUAAUAUCUGCUGAAAAGGCAAAUGUCGAGGACGCCAAGAAUAUUUCAUCAGAAGGAAAAACUUCUGAACCAGUGACCGGGGCAACAACCCAGGCAAACAAGAAGGCAGCCUCAUCAACUGCUGACCAGGAUUUGGAUGUUUUUCUUCUCGGAGAGGAAAGUGAUGAAGGGCCAGGCUGUCCAUUUGCCCAAUCCUGUCAAGAUCACCAUAAUCAGUAGUCAAAUAGUACAAAGCUAGAGGACAACUAUGUUACGUGCUUAAAUCCAGAUUAUCAUCUAUCCUUGCUGUCAUCUACUUUAUGGUAUUUGUGUAGCAUUUGAGGACAAAUUGUACUAUAGGCAAAGAUGUAUGUACACAUAAGAGAUGUGAAACUCAAAUAAGAUGACCAAAUCAAAACAUCAUUUAUCAUAAAAAGAAGACCAGUCACAAUAUAAGAGAUGGUGCUUUCUUGCAUCCACAAAUUGUCAGUAUAUAUUCUCUUUCAUUCAUCUGGCUUUUGUUCUCCAAGCAGCAUUGAUCUAACUGCUAGAAAGUAGUCAACAGGUCUGCAUAUUACAAGUGAUCACCUGAGAAGUCUUUAUUUAUUCCUCAGAAGCUAAAGAUUUAUGAUCUGAUUACCACCAACAAGAAGUCUCGGUUUAUUGGUCUUGACAAGCUAUAGAUAGGAAAAAGGUGAAACAGCGGCUACUUGCUGCUUCGAGAAGUUGAGGUUGAAAUCGUCAGGAAGUUCACACAUCCAUGCAUGAUAUAAUCCAGCUCAUAUGAAAUAGGCAUAUACUCGCUUACUUGCUACCUUCCUCUGCAUGCAUCUUGUCCAUUCCUUGAACCUUUUUCUUUCUUUUUCAACUUUUAUUCCUUUGCUGGAGCUGCAGAAGAUAAGGUAGGUGACUGAGGAAGUCCGAUGGUACGUAAUGCUGUUCGUUUUGGAGGUGUAAAGUUAGAAUUCUUUUAGUGACCUUAUUAUUCACUUUUUAUUGAGUUGUUGGUUACUUUUUAGUUCUACAUCACCUGCUCUAAGUAUAGUUUUAAAGUUCCGGCUGCAUGUUGGAUUUCAAUGCUGCCUAAUCUUUCCUUUCUCAAGUUGCUGGUAUUACUCUGAAUGUAGUUUUGUUGUCCAGCAGCUGCUUCUUCGACGGUCUUGCUGCCUGAAAAGGGCCAAAUUAUUCAAAGUUAGUUUUGGAUGUCAAAUGUAAACAAAAAUAGAGAGGAUGAGUAAAAAUUGGAAGAGUGAUAUUUAAUGAAAGCAUAUUAUUACC